rnacentral:sRNA from 1 species
AUAAAUAACUUGGAAAAACUACUGGACUGGAUGGUCUCUUAAGAUUGUAAGUGCCAAGCCUUGGCACUCUAGGACCCAUCCCUUUUUAACAGUAGCAUCUAUUUUUAGACUAGACAAGGAUACUUAAGCUGUAUUACAAAUAUAGUUCCAGAUACAUCAUGGUACUCUACAUCUAGUCUGGUUCCUGAUACUUUUAACCAAUGCUCUGGCCUGGCCAUUCCUGCAGUGCCUGUCCUUCUCCUUUGGCUCAUGCUAUCCUCAGCAGCACAUGCAUUAUUUGUAAGCCUCCCUUACCCAUUUGAUACUACCCAAUCAAGACUCUAGUAUAAAUGUUCUGUCCCUUCAAACCUUCCCCAGUUGGCCAUUUUCCCAAAGUACAUUUUCCACUCUUAUGGCUCAGUACACUUUGCUUUGUCUGGUAGUUUUAUGUGUAAAGCUCAGAGAAGGACUGGAUCUUGGGUUUCUUUAUUGUAAACCAUCCAAAUGCCUUGCAUUGUACUAUACUGAAGGUAACAUGGAUCCAAGUUAUAUGGCUUAAAAAUUCUUUUCUCUUUCAGGAUCGAAUCAUCAAUUUAGUUGUUGGCAGCUUAACAUCCUUAUUGAUUCUAGUAACGCUGAUAAGUGCUUUUGUUUUCCCUCAACUACCUCCAAAACCGUUGAAUAUAUUCUUU